CUUAUAAGCAUGUAUAAAUAGAGUAAUAUGGACAAAACAAAAAGAGAGCACAAAAAGCAUCACAAGAGAUGCAAACCAGAAGUAUCUCGUGAGAUGCAAACAAACAACAAACUAAAGGCUUAACUAUAAAAAAAAAAUAAAAAUAAAAAAUAAAAAAAAACUAAAGACACCAAACAUUAAUUCACACCAAAAUAACAAAGAUGGCUUAGAUCCUCUCACCAUUGAGCAUCCCUGCAUGAAAAGAUGCUUCAGGUUAUUAGACUCUCAAUAUUCUUUGAGUCGGAGCAUUUUCUCAGCAAAAUAGAAGCUAGCCUGCCUUUAAUGCAACUUUUGAUUAGGAGUUUUUACAUAUAAAUGGGCUUAGGGCUCCAUAUUUACUAAGUGGCUGAAUCAAAAUUCCAUAAUUUCAAGAAAAUGAGAUUGACUAAAAAAUUAUAUGGACAUGAACUUUUACUGUUUAGGAAUAUUGUGUUGUCUAAACUAUCGUUCUCCCUAUUCCAACACAUUUAUCUGAUUGACCUUUUUUAUUUACUCGCCCAAUCUAAGCAUAUCUGGCCAAUAAACCCUCAUUCGUGCAUCAAAAUAUUAGAGAUGCGCCUUCCCUCUCUAUCUCUCCCUCUCUCUAACAGCAAAGCAAGAUUUGCGGUAGCCCGUUCUCUGUUUCUCUAUCCAGCGAACAUGGAGGUCUUUUCCACUUCGUUUCUCUUUGAUGACUGAUUCUAUUCGGUGUGAAAUCAAGCCAGACUUAGGAUUUGUCUCUCUCUCCUUCACUCUUGAGAGCGUUUGAGUUCCUACGCUAAACUGAUUGCAAAGUUUCUAGAUGAGAAACUUCAUUCUAGAAAUAAGAGUACAUCAGAAGAAGAAUUGGGGCAUACACUUGAUGAAACCUUGGUUUUAUUCAUAUUUAUACAGGGCAAGGAUGUAAUUGAACCAUUCUAUAGGACGGAUCUUGCAAAAAGGUUACUGUUAGGAAAGAUUGUUUCCCCUGAUGCAGAGAAGCUCGUGAUCUCUAAGAUGUUGAAUACCCGGUGUUCUCCAAGUAGAUUCAAGGAAGCGAAAUGCAAUUUAAGUGAGGAAAAAAAAGGUGGUCGUACAAGAGAUUGGGUUUGGGUCCCUGUUAGACAUUAAGUGUAUCAAUUUAAAAUGCAAACUAUGUUCAUGGUUUGUAGAAUACUUUGAUUCUAGAACAUCCCACCUCACCCUUGAAUGUGGCGAUCAGAUCCUUGUUACACCAAGUGACAUUGAAGAGGUGUUUGGCUUACCCUCGAGAAGAGGAGAAGAUGUGCCAAACUAUAUUAUAGAAAAUGUGAAUUGGUUAGAGAAUAGUAAUUUUGUAAAAAAUGGUGCAAUAGAAGUGCAACAUUUCGCGCAUCAAUUGGACGUUCUUCUUGUUGGGGAUGACUUCAAGAGGGCUUUUGUCUUUUUCACUUGCAGAUCAUUUCUAUCACCCAUAUUAAAAAACGAGACAAGAAAAAAGUUGUUGGGGGCGAUUGAUAAUGUGGAUGCUAUUAAAUCAUACAAUUGGGGGAAGUUUGUUUUUAGAUUGGUUGAGAAAAGACGUUGUAUCCUAUAAAGGAAAGGAAGGAAGAAAAUGUUGUAAAUAAAUACAUGGAUGCUUGUUCUUUCUCAUGGUAUGUUCUAAGAUAUAAUAUUUAUAAUGUG